UAAAAAUGUAGAAUGAGAAUG
rnacentral:piRNA from 1 species